rnacentral:rRNA from 1 species
GACCUGGUACGGUGGUCCGCCUUCACGGUGUGUACUGCUGGACCGGGUUCUACCUCUUGGUGAGCCGGCAUGCCCUUCACUGGGUGUGUCGGGGAACCAGGACUUUUACUUUGAAAAAAUUAGAGUGUUUAAAGCAGGCUCACGCUUGAAUACAUUAGCAUGGAAUAACGGAAUAGGACG